UCUCAACUGAUUUAGAAGAGAAGCAUUUAUUAGAUAAAAAACCAAUAUAUGUUUUUAAAGCAUAUAAGUUGGUGAUUUAGAAUAACUAAGCAAAUCGCACAGUGUAAACUGGCGAUAAAUCAUUCAAGUUUCUGACCUAUCAGCUUUCGACGGUAAGGUAUUGGCUUACCGUGGCAGUGACGGUUAACGGGGAAUUAGGGUUCAAUUCCGGAGAGGGAGCCUGAGAAACGGCUACCACAUCUAAGGAAGGCAGCAGGCGCGCAAAUUACCCAAUUCUAAUAGCAUAAGAGAGGUAGUGACAAGAAAUAACAGUACAAGGCAGAUAAAAUGCUUUGUAAUUGGAAUGAUAGAAAUUUAAAUACUUUUUAAAGUAUCAAUUGGAGGGCAAGUCUGGUGCCAGCAGCCGCGGUAAUUCCAGCUCCAAUAGCGUAUAUUAAAAUUGUUGCAGUUAAAAAGCUCGUAGUUGAAUUUUUGCUAAAAAUAACCGGUCUGCUUUUAUUAAUAAAAGUGGUAUCUUGGUGUGUUUUUAGCAAUAAUGUCCUUUGAAAUGUGUUUUACUUUAUUGUAAAUAGCAAUUUUCAGGAUUUUUACUUUGAGAAAAUUAGAGUGUUUCAAGCAGGCUAACGUUUUGAAUACUGCAGCAUGGAAUAAUAAGA
rnacentral:rRNA from 1 species